GACGAACGCUGGCGGCGUGCUUAACACAUGCAAGUCGAACGGAAAGGCCCCCACUUUUUUGGUGGGGGUGCUCGAGUGGCGAACGGGUGAGUAACACGUGGGUGAUCUGCCCUGUACUUCGGGAUAAGCUUGGGAAACUGGGUCUAAUACCGGAUAGGACCAUGGUUUAGUGUCUCAUGGUGGAAAAAUUAUUGUUUUGGUGCAGGAUGAGCUCGCGGCCUAUCAGCUUGUUGGUGGGGUAAUGGCCUACCAAGGCGUCGACGGGUAGCCGGCCUGAGAGGGUGGACGGCCACAUUGGGACUGAGAUACGGCCCAGACUCCUACGAGAGGCAGCAGUGGGGAAUAUUGCACAAUGGGCGCAAGCCUGAUGCAGCGAUGCCGCGUGGGGGAUGACGGCCUUCGGGUUGUAAACUCCUUUCGUUAGGGACGAAGCCGCACCUUUUUUGGGUGUGGUGACGGUACCUUUGUGAAGAAGCACCGGCUAACUACGUG
rnacentral:rRNA from 1 species